GAUGAAGAACGUAGCGAAAUGCGAUACUUGGUGUGAAUUGCAGAAUCCCGUGAACCAUCGAGUCUUUGAACGCAAGUUGCGCCCGAAGCCAUUAGGCCGAGGGCACGCCUGCCUGGGUGUCACACGUCGUUGCCCCCCCAUCUACUCCUUCGGGAUUGCGGGGGGCGGAUGAUGGCCUCCCGUGCGCCUCGUCGCGCGGUUGGCAUAAAUGCCAAGUCCUCGGCGACGCACGCCACGACAAUCGGUGGUUGCGAAACCUCGGUUGCCCGUCGUGUGCGGUCGUCGUGCAUCGAGGGCUCGAAAAAAUUGCCGGGCUCCGGCUCGGCUUUCAACGCGACCCCAGGUCAGGCGGGGUUACCCGCUGAAUUUAAGCAUAUCAAUAAGCGGAGGA
rnacentral:misc_RNA from 1 species